rnacentral:rRNA from 1 species
CGGCCGCGGUAUCCUAACCGUGCAAAGGUAGCGCAAUCACUUGCCCUUUAAUUAAGGGCUUGUAUGAAUGGUUACAUGAGGGUCUAACUGUCUUCUAAGACCCCUCAAUGAAUUUGAUGACUCAGUACAAACGCUGAAAUAAUCUCACAAGACGAGAAGACCCUGUGGAACUUCAAGUUCCUAAGCUAGCAAGCAUAGUCUCACACCAUUAGGCCUAGCAAAAACUUUCAGUUGGGGCAACUACGGGGAAUAAAAAAACCCCCGCGGACUGCAGGUACCCCCUGCACCCAAAGGCUUACACGCCUAAAACCAGAUCCAGCCUGACUGAUCUACGAACCAAGCUACCCCAGGGAUAACAGCGCUAUCCCCCUCAAGAGUCCAUAUCGUCAGGGGGGUUUACGACCUCGAUGUUGGAUCAGGAGACCCCGGCGGUGCAGCCGCUGCCAAAGGCUCGUUUGUUCAACGAAUAAUGUCCU